AAGAAUUUCAUGUCUUUUGUAUUAAAGAAUUAAAUGGAUGAAAUAUGAAGUUUUAUUAAAAGAAAAAGGUGUGAAAAGAACAAAGUUUUGUCCAUCUUUGUUCAUCAUAGCUGAAAGUUAGAGAAGAGAAAGGAGAGGAGAAAGCUCUUAAGUGUUCGGUCACUUGGGGAAGAAAAUUGAAGGUAAGUACAUGGUAGUUGGCUUCUAUCUUGAUGUUCAUGAGUUCUUCUUGAUUCUACCUUAACUCUUGAAGCAUAUUUUGGUUUUUAGUUGUGUUGUGAGCAUUUAGUCAUGAAUUAAAAUGAAGGAAAUGGUUGUUGUUUCAUUUUAUUUUGAUGAAAAAAAUGGAAGAUAGGUGAAGUUGAGCCAAACAAAUGAGCAUCAUGUGCCUUAGAUGUUAAAGGGAAAAAUCAGCUAACAUGUUGUGCUUUAAAAUGAUGAAAUGGAGAUUAUACUUAAGUAAAAUCAUAGAUAUGUGAUGAUUGAUUGGUGAUAUACAUGUUUAAAUAACAUGCAUGCAAGGUAUGUGUGAAAGAGUGAUUUGGUAAUAAAUCUGCUUGGGACAGCAACAGUAACGUGACUUUGGAAAAUCACCAUAAAUUGUGGGAGAAGAAUUAGAAACUGAAUAAAUUAUGUAAUUAAAUCUUAAUAAGUCUAGUUUCAAAUGAAAUAAACGAGAAUAUAUUUUGAAUUCUGUACAAUGAGAAAUUUGAUUUGAAAUAAAGAGUGGUCAGAUUAGUCCAACAGUGAAACAUGGGAAACUUUAAGAAAAAUCUGGUAUUGAUUGGCCAAACCAAAAAUUCUGAAAAUUUUAUGGAUAGAAGAUAUAUGAGUCUAUUUUCAGGGAAAAUUAACGGAACUUGAUUUGGAGUUUCGUAGCUCCAGUUAUAAAUAAUUUAAUGACUAUUGCUCAGGAAGACAGCUUGCAGUGAAAUUAUAAUUAUGUGGUAAACAUUGACAAAAAUUUGUUAAUGAGUUGCUUAUUGAUUUCUUAUAAGCUUACUAUGAUCUGUAGGUGUGGUUGGUCGAAUAUUGUAAGGGGUUAAUACGUAGUUUGUAUUUGAAUAGUUAGAUUAACGUGUUAGUAAUCCAAUUGUAGGCGGUUCGUGUGUGGAUCUCGUCAGCAUAUCGUCGCAAACAGGUGUGUAACUAACACCCUCUUUCUUAGUCUGGAUCGGCAAAAGUCGAAAAGCCGAAAUGCCGAAAAUCGGUAUUUUGUAGAUUUGCGAGUGUGCGAAUGCUCGUGAGGUAAAUCGAUUAAUGUUUUUGGUAAACUGCAAAAAUUUGGACUGCAAAGUGCAUGAUUUCUGUGCCCUCGAUAUUUUUGGGCUUAAUGGCCCAAAAUUGGAAUGAUGGGCCAACGGGCCCAAUUCGGUAAGAACCCUCGGUACGUGAUUCUGUUAGUACGUGAAAAGUAGGAAAAUGCAUGAAAAACCCUAAAAUAGAUAAAUUACUGAAAUACCUUUAAAAGUGGAAAAUUUACAGUUUUACCCCUAAGAGAUAAAUUACCGAAAUACCCCUAGGGUUAAAUUGACUUAAAUGCAUGUUUGAUUGUUGUUAUUUACUGCAUGCCAUGUUGUUAUUAUCUGAUGCAUGGGAUUGGGAUAUUGACGGAGGAAGUACUGAAAGUGGCUUGUCCACGUACUGGAGGCUUUGCCUCAAUUUACUGUUAACUGAGCAGCAAUGCUGCAACUGUGGAGUGUUGGGCUGGAUGGGUUGAGCUAUCCCCACAUGGAGUGUAUGGCUGGUACGGGUGGAGUGUAGUGGUUGGUGGGUUGAGUAGUCUCCCCAAAUGGGCUUGCAUAUGUUUACUGAUAUUGCAUGUAUUUUGAAAUGGGCCUAUGGGCCAUACUGUUAUCUGAAUAAAGUGCUAAGGCCCAGUUUAUUGUAAUCUGAAAAGGGCUCUGGCCCAGUACCACUGUUACCCAAAUGGGCUUGUAUAUGUUUACUAAUGUUGCAUGUAUUUUGAAAUGGGCCUAUGGGCCAUACUGUUAUCUGAAUAAGGGGCUAAGGCCCAGUUUAUUGUAAUCUGAAAAGGGCUCUGGCCCAGUACCACUGUUACCUGAAUGGGCUUGAGCUGACUUGGGAUUUGAAUGAGUUUUCCUUACACACUGAGUUUCCCCAAACUCACCCCUUUUAUUUUCAUCCACGCAGGAAAUCCUCAACCAUAGUGGGCUUGGAGCUGUGAGGGAAUUCGGAGUGGCCACCCGUUCUGAAAGUUUGAUUUUCUUCUGGUGAACUGGACAUCCUUUUAUUUACGUUUGAAGUUUUGGGUUUUUAAAUGUAAUAAGGCCGCUUAAUUAUUUUUGAUGGUUUUAAUAUGUAUUACUAAGAUAGGUAAUACUUAUUUUAACUGUUGAAAUUGGAGAGCUUUAGGGCGCGUUUUUAAAAACAACAAUUGAUUUCAAAAUAACACGACAACAAGCAAAGCUUCCGCAAUGAAAGUAUUUUCCAAAAUUAAUCACUUUUUCCUAAAAAUGACUUAAUCAAAUCGGUUUCCUAGAAAUAUCCAUGACGUUAAGGUGUGGCAAUGGCGGUAUGCAUGUCUAGGAUUGGAUCCGAAGGGAGCUUGGUACUUAAGCAGUCCGAUGGACUCACCACCUCUUUUCCGGUUUCCUACCUGGUGCACAGCUUCCAUUCACUUUAACCUUUAAUGAAUUAAUCUUUUGAACAUCAAGUAUGAUUUUCUGGACUUAGAAUGGAAAUUUUUUUUUACGUUUUUGAUGUGGCAUGCCAGAUCCAGCCAUAACUUCUGGGCCGGGUUUGGGGUGUUACAGUGGUUUUGUAUAAUUUUGAUCUAAUGAGGACCGAAAAGGAUUUUGUAGUUGAAAGCACGUGUUUCAAGGCUAUUCUAGGGUGGUUUCGUGACCACACAGGCGUGUGACGACUCACACAACCGUGUGCUUUUGGGAAUUAAGGUUUUGAGUGAAAUUUGGGUACCACACGGUCUGGCCACACUAUCGUGUGGCUGAUUUGGGGAUUUUAUCGAUUUUCACACGACCGUGGCCGUGUGUGUUUGGAGAUUAGGAUUUGGGAGAUUUGGUGCCACACGACCUGGCCACACGGUUGUAUGGCUGAUUUGGGGAUUUAGGGUUUUCACACGGGCGUGUGUUUUGGGCACAUGGUCAUGUCUGGUGGGCACACGGGCGUGUGAGAGUCUCAUACGACCGUGUCAGCUCUGUACUCAAAUUUAGUGCAAUUGGACAGAGAGUUACACGGCCUAUUCCCACGGCCAUGUCCUUGGUUUACACGGGCUUGUGCUUCAGGCAUACGACUGUGUGCCUCUCUUCACACGAGUGUGUGCCCCUUUUUACACGGGCAUGUGACCCCCACACGGCCAGGGUAGACGGACGUGUGGUCGUAAGACACUUAUAUUGGUUCUACGUGCGGUUUUGGUCUAAAAAUGUGUUUGCGUGCUUUGACCCUUGGCUAAGCUUAAACAAGGGCAGUUAAGACUCUAUUUUGGGCUACAGCUUAAGUGCUAUUUGUGAUCGAUGAGUGUAAUGUCUGACUCUGAACCUGAUUAAACAGGGUGUGUGUGUGUGUGUGCAUAUCUGUUCUAUUUGAAUGUUUGAUACUGUGUCACUAUUCUGUGAGAUUGAAUCCAUACAUGCACUUGCAUAAAUUGUUUUGGGUUGGGUUGUGAAGAGAAGGGAGACUGGUUCCGAUCUGAUUUGGCAGUUCUACUGCAACUUAUACGCACAGCGAUUUAUCGCACUGUACCGCACAUGCGUCAGCUUUGCUACGCACUAUUAUCUAAUCUGGCAGUUUAACUGCAACAUGUCUGUAUAGCGGAUUAUCGCAUUGCACCGCACUAUAUGCACGUUAGCUAUGCUACGUACCACUAUUUGAUCUAACAAUUAAGCUGCAAAUUACCGGUAUAGCGGUUUACCGUAUUGCACUGUACCGCAUGUACGUUAGCUACGCUACGUAUGUAUAUCUGAUCUGGCAGUUCAACUGCAUUUUGAUAAGUCAUCGUUAUCGGGCAACCCGAGAUGAGCUUAUAUGGUGUGUAGGGUUGGAUGGGCCCACUUGGUCCUAAUUAAUGUAUUUGGUUGGAUGAGCUUUAACAGCUCUUUUGGGGUGUGACCGAGGGACGAAAAGGUGUGUUGGCUAAAUGGGUAGGUUUUUAUUUGACUGCAUUUCAUCCACAUCUGUCUGUGAAUUUUGACUGAAAGACUAGUUGUCUGUGAUCGGUUUGUCUGAUUAGCAUUUGUGAUGAAACUUGGUGUGAACUUAAUGUGCUCUGAUUGUUAAGCGCUGUUUGGACAUUAGUUCCAGGUAUGCUUUCUGGUUCUGUGUGUAUUUAAAAUUCUAUUGCGCUUCUGAUUUGGAUACUCUAUUUCUAUCUCUGUUUUUUAUUCGAACUCACACUGAGCUCGAGUAGCUCACCCCCUCUUAGUGUUCUCCUUUCAGGUACUCUUCUGAAUUCUGACGCUAGGUUCGUUAUGCGGAGGUCUCAGACAGUCUCGAAGUAGAAUAAAUUAUUAGUUUGUAUUUUCAGUUUCUAAUUGAUAUUUCAAUUUUGAACUGUAAAAUUUUAUAAAAAUGAGGUACAAAUUCCGUUUUAAGUUUUUAGUUUUAAUCUGAUGAUUUAUAUUACCUCAACUAUAAUUUUACUGUUUGUAUUUUUAAAGAUUAAAUGUUUCAGUUUGACGUGACAACCUGUUUCUAGCCCAGAUUUAG
rnacentral:lncRNA from 1 species